GGUAGAAUUUCUGGGUCAUAUAGUGACCACCAUUACUCUUAAGAGAAAUUACCAAACUGUUUCCCAAAGUGGCUGCACAAUUUUACAUUCCCACCAACAAC
rnacentral:pre_miRNA from 1 species